GGAAGGAUCAUUAACACACUCCAAACUUUUUUCUAGUCCAUAAGAAAUAGUUGUCUUAUUUGAAUUGCAGCCCUGGUGGCGAAUUCAUUUUAAAACUUAGUGACCGUAGACGAUGGAUGACUUGGCUUGUACACCGAUGAAGAGCGCAGCUAGCUGCGAUAAGUAGUGUGAAUUGCAGAAUUCUGUGAAACACUAAAUUCUUGAACGCAUCCGGCGCCUGUGAGCAAUCACAGGUACACCUGGUUGAGUGCGGCUUAUUCCAUUCUUUGAACCCAAACAGUUCAAAGGUGUUGGGGAGUUCGGUUUAUGCCAUAAAAAUUGGUAACAACCGUUCCCUUAAAAAUCUUGUCCUGAGGGAAAUCGAGUCUCGUACUUCUCCUCCCAGUAAAAUGGGUGUUGCAAGAAUCAGUAUUAACGGGUAGUGGGUUUUUACUGGUGGCAACUUUUGGAAACAGUACUUGGCUUGGAAUUCCUUGUUGUCGAAUGUUGAUUUGCUUACUUGUCCACGAUUUCGUGCUGAAGUAUGCAAUCAAUUGUUUGUCAAUGUCCAAUCGGAUAGGGCUUAAUCCAACUUGUUGGAUCCACUCUCACAAACUGCUGCCUCAACUCAGGUGGGACAACCCCCUGAACUUAAGCAUAUCAAUAAGGGGAGGAAAAGAAACUAACCAGGAUUCCCUUAGUAACUGCGAGUGAAACGGGAAAAGCUCAUACCCUAAUCUGGCGUGGUUUACUGCGUCCGAAUUGUAGUGUUUGGAUUGGUACACGGUGAGACUCACAGGAGGAAGUGUGCUGGAACGCACUGCCACAGAGGGUGACAGCCCCGUACUUCUGCUGGUGUUUUGCUUAUUGUGCUUGUCCUAGAGUCGGUAUGUUUGGGAGUACAUACCUAAGUGGGAGGUAAAUUCCUUCUAAAGCUAAAUACGGGUACAAGACCGAUAGCGAACAAGUAGCGUGAGCGAAAGUUGCAAAGAACUCUGGAGAGAGAGUUAAAGAGUCCCUGAAAUCGUCUACGGGUAAGCGUUUGGCUCGACUCGUGUUGCUGGUGGCUCACUCACGAGUGAGGCAUCCUUGUGCUUGAGUGGAAUUGGCCUUUGUGUCAGUCCCUCAGGUGCGGGGUGCUUUACUUGUGGGGCACUCCAUCAGUGACGGCCAUCGUCGGUGUCGACUUCGGCAAAAAGGUAGCAGUUUGGUGCCAUGUUGUAGGUCUCGGCUUGCAGUGUGGAUUUAAGCUGUUGCUGUAGCUGUCGUCGGUACUGUCGCAUUAGCCAGUGCAGUGCGGUAUGGGUUUGUUCCGGGUGUUUUUGGUUAGGAGGACAGCUUGCUGUGCUUUUGGCCAAGGGUAUUCGACGGGCAGGCUCAGCAACUAUUGGCUAUUACGAUGACUCGAGUUGGGCUAAACGUCCCGUCUUGAAACACGGACCAAGGAGUCUAACAUGUGUGCAAGCCUAAGAGUUGAAAACUUGUAGGCGCAAUGAAAGUGAUUAGAUGGGAAAGGCGGCACUUCGGUGCUGCCUUGCACCAUCGGCCCAUUGUUCCCUUCGGGGGAUGGUGGAGUUAGAGUACACCUGUUAGGACCCGAAAGGUUGCGAACUAUGCCUGCAUAGGACGAAGCCAGGUGAAAACCUGGUGGAGGUCCGAAGCGAUACUGACGUGCAAAUCGUUCGUCAAAUGUGGGUAUAGCGGCGAAAGACUAAUCGAGCAGCCUAGUAGCUGGUUCCCUC
rnacentral:misc_RNA from 1 species